ACGUAGGUGGCAAGCGUUACUCGGAAUCACUAGGCGUAAAGCGCGUGUAGGCGGGCAGUUAAGUCCAACGUUAAAUCUCCCGGCUCAACCGGGAACGGUCGUUGGAUACUGAUUGUCUUGAGUGAUGCAGGGGAAACUGGAAUUCCCGGUGUAGCAGUGAAAUGCGUAGAGAUCGGGAGGAACACCAGUGGCGAAGGCGGGUUUCUGGGCAUCCACUGACGCUGAAGCGCGAAAGCUAGGGGAGCAAACAG
rnacentral:rRNA from 1 species